AGUGAACGCUGGCGGUAGGCCUAACACAUGCAAGUCGAACGGCAGCACAGGAGAGCUUGCUCUCUGGGUGGCGAGUGGCGGACGGGUGAGGAAUACAUCGGAAUCUACUCUGUCGUGGGGGAUAACGUAGGGAAACUUACGCUAAUACCGCAUACGACCUACGGGUGAAAGCAGGGGACCUUCGGGCCUUGCGCGAUUGAAUGAGCAGAUGUCGGAUUAGCGAGUUGGCGGGGUAAAGGCCCACCAAGGGGACGAUCCGUAGCCGGUCUGAGAGGAUGAUCAGCCACACUGGAACUGAGACACGGUCCAGACUCCUACGGGAGGCAGCAGUGGGGAAUAUUGGACAAUGGGCGCAAGCCUGAUCCAGCCAUACCGCGUGGGUGAAGAAGGCCUUCGGGUUGUAAAGCCCUUUUGUUGGGAAAGAAAUCCAGCUGGCUAAUACCCGGUUGGGAUGACGGUACCCAAAGAAUAAGCACCGGCUAACUUCGUGCCAGCCGCCGCGGUAA
rnacentral:rRNA from 1 species